GUCUAGGGUAGCCUAGUGGACAUGGCAUCUGCCCGGUAAGCGGAACACUGUGGGUUCGAUUCCCAUCCCUGGACA